AGUGAACGCUGGCGGUAGGCCUAACACAUGCAAGUCGAACGGCAGCACAGUAAGAGCUUGCUCUUACGGGUGGCGAGUGGCGGACGGGUGAGGAAUACAUCGGAAUCUACUUUUUCGUGGGGGAUAACGUAGGGAAACUUACGCUAAUACCGCAUACGACCUACGGGUGAAAGCAGGGGAUCUUCGGACCUUGCGCGGUUGAAUGAGCCGAUGUCGGAUUAGCUAGUUGGCGGGGUAAAGGCCCACCAAGGCGACGAUCCGUAGCUGGUCUGAGAGGAUGAUCAGCCACACUGGAACCGAGACACGGUCCAGACUCCUACGGGAGGCAGCAGUGGGGAAUAUUGGACAAUGGGCGCAAGCCUGAUCCAGCCAUACCGCGUGGGUGAAGAAGGCCUUCGGGUUGUAAAGCCCUUUUGUUGGGAAAGAAAAGCAGCAGGUUAAUACCCCGCUGUUCUGACGGUACCCAAAGAAUAAGCACCGGCUAACUUCGUG
rnacentral:rRNA from 1 species